rnacentral:rRNA from 1 species
AAUGAACGUUGGCAGCGUGGAUUAGGCAUGCAAGUCGUGCGGCAGCAGGCCCCGCAAGGGGUGCUGGCGAGCGGCGUAAGGGAGAGGAACACGCGGGUACCUGCCCUCAGGACCGGGAUAGCUGCGGGAAACUGCAAUUAAUACCGGAUGAUGUCUCCGGACCAAAGGUGUAAUUCCGCCGGAGGAGGGGCCCACGUCCUAUCAGCUAGUUGGAGAGGUAACGGCUCACCAAGGCGAUGACGGGUACGGGGUGUGAGAGCAUGCCCCCGCUCACUGGGACUGAGACACUGCCCAGACACCUACGGGUGGCUGCAGUCGAGAAUCUUCCGCAAUGGGCGAAAGCCUGACGGAGCGACGCCGCGUGCGGGAUGAAGGCCUUCGGGUUGUAAACCGCUGUCAGUGGGGAGCAACUGCAUGGGGGUUCUCCCCUGUGAUUGAGCGAUCCGCAGAGGAAGCGCAGGCUAAGUUCGUGCCAGCCGCCGCAGUAAGAC